UACGUAGGGACCAAGCGUUGUUCGGAUUUACUGGGCGUAAAGGGCGCGUAGGCGGCGCAAUAAGUCACUUGUGAAAUCUCCGGGCUUAACUCGGAGCGGCCAAGUGAUACUGUUGUGCUAGAGUGCAGAAAGGGCAAUCGGAAUUCUCGGUGUAGCGGUGAAAUGCGUAGAUAUCGAGAGGAACACCUGAGGCGAAGGCGGGUUGCUAGGCUGACACUGACGCUGAGUGCGCGAAAGCUAGGGUAGCAAACGGG
rnacentral:rRNA from 1 species